rnacentral:lncRNA from 1 species
GGUAAACAAACGCGUUGGCGAAGUCGGUUCGGCGAUCCGUCGAGCCGUUGCGAAGUUAUUUAAGAAACGGACAUUUAGGCUUCGGGUCCGCCGGGAGGGCCGAGGCGACGUCGUAAAAUCGUGGAAAUGGAUUGGAGGCAUUGUGGCACAUAACCGAAGAGCUUCUGCACUUGAAACGGCGAAGCGGAGCGCUCUUGGAGUGCAACCGUGAGAUAGGGUUGGCUAUGGACCCUCGACCUGUGGAAAGUGGAUUCCGGAAUCCUAAGACUUGUGAUGACCCUGGUAGAAGCUAGGGCGUUUGUGCAACGACUUCGCUGCCGAGCUUGGUACCAAGGGAGGAUUGGGGGCGAUCACACGGAGAUCACCGCCCGGGGCUUGAACCAUUGCCGUGGCGUUUGUGCGACGAUUUCGCCGCCAGGAUGGUUGAGCCAUUUGAGGAUCAGACCGUCAGAGCAGACUGAAUCCAUGCUGGGUAAGUACGAUACGGGUGCCUACAGGUGGCUGAGUCAGACAUGGACCGUUGUUGGGUGUGGUGCGAUCCGUUCGCCGCCAGACCGUGUGUCAUGACUCGAGCUCACGCUGGGUAAGAGCAACGCGAUCGCCACCAGAUGGUCAAGUCAUGCGACUUGAGCCGAGCUUAGCGUGUGUGACGACUUCGCCGCUAGGGGGCUGUGACAGAGAGAGGGCGGUAGGCUGAUGAGCAGCCGGUGCGCGGGCUAUCCGCGGAUGAUUGACUCGAAGCCGAGUCGGGUGGUUAGCUUCGAUAGGGUAGAGGAACCCUUAUGAGCUAGAGAUAGAGACUUGAGCUAAGGUGAUAGAGACCUUAGGAGCCAGGGGACUCGAGUGUGAACCUAAGGUAGUAGAAACCUUAGAGUAAAGGCAUGAGCUAAGAGUAGCCAGGUAAAUGUAGAAUCUAAUGAUCUACUAGUUGUUUCAUAAAGUUGUAUGAUUUUCAUAUCGCAUAUCGUGAGACAUGGCAUGUAUUUCAAUUGAAUAUAUAUCUGUUGUAUAUUGCUGAACUAACAUGUUGCAGUGCCUCCUCGGACCUAUCGGUAGAGCUUUUCUCUUGGGUGGCCGUACCCACUGGGAACCAUGGAGUUGGUUCUCACCCCACGUGGUUUUGGGGUGUUUUUAGGUUGUACGUGUGGAGCGCGAUGGCGCGAGGCGAGGGCGUAGCUCAGUAGAUAGCACCCUACCACAGAGACCGAGAUAGCAGUACCCUGAGGCAGUCUAGCUUAGGGGACUAGAAGGCAAAGAAUCUAAAUGUAUCAAACUUGUAAAAUAAAUGAUGUAAUAAUAUGAUUGUAACUGGAAGUAAAAUGUAAAUUCGAAGCUGAGAUGUACUAAGUGAAUGCUUGUAAUAGCUGUUAGUUUUAUGUAUUUGAUACUUUCUUUGCAAUCUGGAUUGGUAUUCGUUCCUUGUUGGAACAUUCGUUGAUUGUUUGGAUUGUGACGCCUAGAACGUACAGGGGGGACUCUGUCCGCGUAUAGGGGAAAUCCCGGUCCGUUCGGCGGUCUGUCGUCGGCGCCGCGACCCGGUCCAAAUUGGUGGUUGGUCGCGGGGUGUGACAGAUAAAGUUGUAUGAGAGCAUAAAGUAGAAAAUGGGAGGAAAAUGGUUUAGACAGACCUAGGGAACCCUAGGAUAGUGAAACCAUCGGAGAAUCAGGUUCAUGAGAGACGAGGACUUAUGAUUUGUGGCGAAAGGUAAUGGAUUGGGUUGUGUCGUAAACCUCUAAGACGGAUAUUAGAGGUAGACUCGAGGUGUGGUUUAUUCUCAGCCGAGGAUGUUCAUGUUGGCGUACGACAACAUGAAACCGAGUGAUGUGAAUAAACACACUUGCGUGACUUUCGCCUGAUUGGCUUUUGAGUCGGUGUUAGUGGUCUCGCGUUUGACUCUGAGGGUCGAGAACUAAUCAAGUUGUCUUAUUUCAGGAAGCGAUGGCACAGCGUAGGCGAUCUUUCCAGAUCGGCGCGGGCGGGGACAAGUGGUGUCCCUGAGCAAACCGACGCGAGCGGAGACUCAGAGCUUCGUGAUCAGUUGGCCACACUCGUAGGAGUGUUGAGGCAACAGGCUGAUGUGGUGCAGCGUCAGCAGGAGGCUGCAAUGCGCCAGGAAGAACAAAUAAGAAGACUCCAAGAAACGGUGGAUCAGCUGGUGGCAAAUUUUUCCGUAUCGUGCAUUGUGUCCCAAACGUGGUGCGGGAUGACGAGGACAAGGCUGACUGCUUCGUGCGGAGGCUUCGGCCAGACUUGUACCGGCAGUGCUGGUGCUUAAGUUGCAGACUUUUGCUGAAGUCCUGGAUCGGGCCUUGUGGAUAGAACAAGGCAAUGCAUUCCUGCGAGAGAAGCGUGAGGAACAUUACAAGGAAAAAGGGAAAGAACGGCCAGUGAGUGGACAUGAUGGUCAGUUAAGUUCCCAACAGACCUCAGUGAGGACGCGCUCUCGAUCUAGAGCUCCGGGGACGUACCACAUACGGUCCUCAGCGAGAUGUGUGAUUUGUGGGGGCUCUCAUUUCCCACAACAGUGUGAACAGCGUGAGGGUAAGUGUUUCAAGUGUGGGCUAUCGGGCCAUGUGCGGGACGAGUGUCCACAGGGUGAUAGCCGGGCCUUGACACUUGCAACGGCCCAUACCUCUUCGGGACAGCCGGCGGGUAUGCCACCUGCGGCAUGGUCAGGGGAGCAACCAUUGAGGACAUUGCAACCAGAGGGUUCGCGACGAGCACCGAGUGGCCAUGGAUAGGCGACCCGAGUUGCUAUGCCUGCUGUUGUCGACGUCGUCGUGGCAGGUAUGAGUUAAUUGAGCAAUCGUAUGCUUUUGCAUGAUUUCAAGUUGAUGCAUAGCAUGCAUUUAUCAUAUGGUCAGUUGCUACUAUUUAUACAUUGCAUAGUAGGGACCGUGGGGACGGGUAGAGGUAGACACCCGAGCAUGCUUAUGCGGUGGGAAUAUGACGCCGGCUGGAGUAGGUAGAGAACCAGGUGGUACUAGCAAAUGGCUAGUAAGGGUUCUUGGACGAGGAUUGGACUCGUGGUGAACGCAAAAUAGUGAAGCGACUCUCAAGGCAAUGAGUAUCGAAUUGCGAGAGUUGCGCCGUGACGUCGUGAAUAUCCGAGUAGCCUAAGCAUCUCGGAUAUUGUUUCGGUAGAUCGAACAGUGAAAGUAGAAUCACUGUUGAGAGAGUAGCUGUGUAGUUGCCGAGUGCGGGCACGUAGGCCUAGUAGUACCUCGAGUUAAGGUGGGCGAGUCGUGCUCGUGUAGCCGGUGUGCAUAGGCACGGUUGCCUGUUGCUAGACUAGUGUGGGAUGUUGUAGAGGCGUAUAGAGCGCUCGAGUGUAGUUACUCGUGAAGUGCGGUUUCGAUUCAGCCGGUUGAGUGAGUUGGCAGUAGCACUAUAGCGUUGCUAAGUGCGAAGCGGGCCAUGGAUCACUCGUAGGGCUGGUGACUCUCACUAGGUGCUUAGGAGUCGAUAGAGUGUGUAGCUCUGUAGAGCAUGUCGUGUAGGACAACGACGGCGGGUGAUGCAUGGGGACGAUCCGUGCCUGGACCAUUUGUGGACUGUAUAGCCUGGGCCCUUUGUGCAGGCGCAGUCAGCUGUGAGCGACAGCGGCCCGAUAUCUAUAGGUAGGGCAGAGUUUGGUCAGGACGGUAGUCCGAGUUUGGACCCGAGUGCGUGGAAUGCCACAUGAUGGAUCGUGAGGUUGAGGAUACGCAGAGUGUGUAGUGACCCGACCCGAGGACUUAAUGUGGUUUGGGGUCUUGGUUGCUCUUGGUUGGAGUGUGUGCGAAUUCUCUAAUGAGAAUGUCGCCCGAUGAUGAUUGGGUCUACGAUGCGGGCGAGAGACGCUAUGCGUAGUUGCGACAGGUUUAGGCGGUAGGCCUACGUGAUGUUUGUGACCGUUGGUCCACCUGUGGAAGCCGACGUAAUCGGUUUAGCCGAUAGCUCUGCGGAGGAGUUGGUGUAAGAAAGUGAAUUCUCGAAAUACGAGAGUUAGACUUCGCUCAAAAUCGACUAAUUGUCGAGUGGGAGUGCUUCGGAAAAGCCGAAGAAGUCAAAUGCAUCAAAAGUGCACUGCAAUGGAGUCCGCGAGAGCAAAUGGUGCAAGAAUCUGCACUUGGCAGAUUUGCUCUCGGGGACCGGUCCCUGGCGGGAGGGACCGGUUCCCGAACAUGGUCUGUGCGGGUUUGUUCUUGGGGACCGGUCCCUGGCAAGGAGGGACCGGUUGCCCCGAGGCUGAGGGUUGCGACGCGCAAGGCAACCGAUUCCUGGAUCGGAGGGACCGGUCCCCGAACGCGUGAGAUUAAGGAGGCCCCUCUGGGACCGGUCCCAGGCAGGGAGAGACCAGUCCCCGAGUGUGAAAUUUGCCCAGGCAGGCUGGGUCAUGUUGGAGGACUUGAGGAUAAUGCUCUUAUAUGGAUUGAGAUUCGAGAUGCGCCGGAGUGGGCUAUUUCUUAAUAGAGCAAAUAUCCAAAUGCGAUUGGAGCACUCACGAUUGGUCGAUGCACCAAUAAUAUUGACUUUAAGCAAUGUUGGAGAUCGAUUCGGAAUGCCCUGAAGGGGAAAGUAAAUGCAAAGAUGAUUUCUUGCAUACCAAGUGGUGAAUGGUGUCGGAGCACGUAGUGUCGUAGAGUUUCGACUUGCGCUACCACAAAGAAUGGCGGAGGCCCGUAAUGCACUUUCGGGGUUAUGCUUAGCAAAUGUGAGUGAAUCUGGUCUCACAUUCCCCGUAGUGGGCCUUUGGACAGUUCCAAUGAGCAUAAGGCCACUCUGAGGUGGAAAAGUGCAUGUACCCCUUCGAUACUCGAUAAGUUGAGUUGGGGUGCAAAUUGGAGUUGGAUUUAUUUGAGUUUCGAGGACAAAACUCUUAUUAAGGAGGGGAGAAUGUAACAUACCGAACUUCUAAAAUCAUGAAGUCACGGUGUAUAUUUAAAUGGUUCCGGUGAGGUUACGGUAGAAUGUAACAUACCGGAUUUUAAAUAUAAAAAUAAAAAUAAAUAAAAAUAGUAUGAGAUACUAUUUUAUCGGAUUUAGGGAAGCGAAAUAUAGGUUGGGAGUGACCUGUGCUGAAAUUGGAGCGAAAACAGAAGAUUUAGAAUUUUAUGUGAGAAACGGGGCAGAUAAAUUAGCAGAAAAUGCACAGUGUCAGAAAAUUAUAAAAAUUGGCGGAGAUGUCAGAAAUAUUUUUAUGAGGCUAGAUUUAAAGUUUCAUAUUAUUCUGACACUCGUAGAGAGAGAAAUAAAAUCCGAAAGCUAUCUGAUAAAGAUUGCAGUUCGGUACAGUUUUUAGUGACCAAACGGGGUCGAAACUGAAAUAUUAAAAUUUCUUUGGACUUAUCAAGUAAAACCGAACAUGCCUGUCAAAUUUGAGCUCAAACGGAUAUUCAGAAGGGCUCCAACAAAAUUUAUCAGAUUUCAAGCUGUCCGUGAUGAAUAGUGUUUAGUUAAGGGGCAAAAUGGUAAAAAGGGACUCAACCCUUUUCGUCUUCUCCUUGCUCAGCCACAGCAGCCCAAACCGCACAUACACACACACGCACACACGCAUGGAAGGAAGAGAGAGAACUUCAAAUUCUCUCUCUAAAUCUCUCCCAAAAUUAAAGAAAUUGGCGGAGAUUGAAGCUUGGAGGUGAAUCGCCGUCAUUUUCUUCAUCUUCUCCAUGGUUUGGAGCUCAUUUUGAGGUGAGCUUCUUGAGCCCUUUCAUGGUAGAUCUUCAAAGCUUUGUUUAUAAUCCAUAGAAAUGGCUUAUUUGGAAUCCUAUGAUGCUAAAUAGAGUAUUAAUGCUUGAAUCAUGCAUCAAUUUAUUGAUUUCUUGCAAUAGUUGUAACCUAGGGCUCUAUAAUGCAAUUUUUGCUAGGAGGUGGGUUUGAUCUAAAUUGAACCUAUAUAAACCUAAUUGCUAGAUAAACAAACGCGUUGGCGAAGUCGGUUCGGCGAUCCGUUGAGCCGUUGCGAAGUUAUUUAAGAAACGAACGUUUAGGCUUCGGGUCCGCCGGAAGGGCCGAGGCGACGUCGUAAAAUCGUGGAAAUGGAUUGGAGGCAUUGUGGCACAUAACCGAAGAGCUUUUGCACUUGAAACGGCGAAGCGGAGCGCUCUUGGAGUGCAACCAUGAGAUCGGGCCCAAACGGGUGCCGAGUGCCGCGGGAGGCCGAUUGCAAGUGUCGACAAGCAAUCGGAACGCGAAUUAAGGUGGGUUGU